UACAGAGGUCUCAAGCGUUGUUCGGAAUUACUGGGCGUAAAGGGUGCGCAGGCCGCGCGGGCAGUCAAAUGUGUAAUUCAGGGGCUCAACCCCUGCACUGCGCUUGAUACUUCCGCGCUCGAGCUUUGGAGAGGAGUCUGGAAUUCUCGGUGUAGCAGUGAAAUGCGUGGGUAUCGAGAAGAACACUUAGGGCGAAGGCAAGACUCUGGACAAAUGCUGACGCUCAUGCACGAAGGCUAGGGUAGCGAACGGG
rnacentral:rRNA from 1 species